rnacentral:tRNA from 1 species
GCGCGAGUGGCGGAAUCGGUAGACGCGCUGGAUUUAGGUUCCAGUGUCUUCGGACGUAGGGGUUCAAGUCCCCUCUCGCGCA